GAUGAACGCUGGCGGCGUGCCUAAUACAUGCCAGUCGAGCGAACAGACGAGGAGCUUGCUCCUCUGACGUUAGCGGCGGACGGGUGAGUAACACGUGGAUAACCUACCUAUAAGACUGGGAUAACUUCGGGAAACCGGAGCUAAUACCGGAUAAUAUAUUGAACCGCAUGGUUCAAUAGUGAAAGACGGUUUUGCUGUCACUUAUAGAUGGAUCCGCGCCGCAUUAGCUAGUUGGUAAGGUAACGGCUUACCAAGGCAACGAUGCGUAGCCGACCUGAGAGGGUGAUCGGCCACACUGGAACUGAGACACGGUCCAGACUCCUACGGGAGGCAGCAGUAGGGAAUCUUCCGCAAUGGGCGAAAGCCUGACGGAGCAACGCCGCGUGAGUGAUUGAAGGUCUUCGGAUCGUAAAACUCUGUUAUUAGGGAAGAACAAAUGUGUAAGUAACUAUGCACGUCUUGACGGUACCUAAUCAGAAAGCCACGGCUAACUACGUG
rnacentral:rRNA from 1 species